rnacentral:misc_RNA from 2 species
AGUCGUAACAAGGUUUCCGUAGGUGAACCUGCGGAAGGAUCAUUACCGAGUGAGGGCCCUCUGGGUCCAACCUCCCACCCGUGUUUAUUUUACCUUGUUGCUUCGGCGGGCCCGCCUUUACUGGCCGCCGGGGGGCUCACGCCCCCGGGCCCGCGCCCGCCGAAGACACCCUCGAACUCUGUCUGAAGAUUGAAGUCUGAGUGAAAAUAUAAAUUAUUUAAAACUUUCAACAACGGAUCUCUUGGUUCCGGCAUCGAUGAAGAACGCAGCGAAAUGCGAUACGUAAUGUGAAUUGCAAAUUCAGUGAAUCAUCGAGUCUUUGAACGCACAUUGCGCCCCCUGGUAUUCCGGGGGGCAUGCCUGUCCGAGCGUCAUUGCUGCCCUCAAGCCCGGCUUGUGUGUUGGGCCCCGUCCUCCGAUUCCGGGGGACGGGCCCGAAAGGCAGCGGCGGCACCGCGUCCGGUCCUCGAGCGUAUGGGGCUUUGUCACCCGCUCUGUAGGCCCGGCCGGCGCUUGCCGAUCAACCCAAAUUUUUAUCCAGGUUGACCUCGGAUCAGGUAGGGAUACCCGCUGAACUUAAGCAUAUCAAUAA